CGUGGGUGUGAAGUGACAUCUCAUUAUGAUUAUCAUGUCUUCUUAAAGAAGCAAACACAACCAAAUUCAGAAGAAUUUAUAAGGCUGGUGUCUGAUUGAUUGAAAAGGCCCCAGGAAGUGGAUUUUGCCUUCAGAGUUCAACUCCUCCUCUGGUGCAGUCCCAAAACACUAGGUGGCAUGAGCAGAACAAGGAGGCGUACACACUGCAGGCAAAACUGCAAAGAAAGGGGCCACUUUCAUUCUGUACCCAUGGUGUGAAGAGUUAAAACCCAUCUAAGGAGACUUUCCAAGACUCUCUCUGGACGACCACUGUGUUCAUAAGUGCCCCUGUACAGCAGGAAGAUGGGGUGAUUUGCUAAGGUCUUUUCUAGCCUUGGAGAUUCUGGGAUUCUAGAAUUACUCUUUUAUAGUAAGACAUGAUCUCUGCAAUGUCAUUGAGAUUUAUAUGAGAAAAAAUGUUCUUUAGGGGCUAUCAAUUAAAACUUUAUACCACAAAA
rnacentral:lncRNA from 1 species